UUCAUAAGGUAUGAGGACAAGCUGAGGAUGUCAGCAUGAAAACAAUUUUUUGCAGAAAAAAGUGACAGGGGUAAGAAGAAGCAGUCAGAUCUGUGUGUGCCCAGGUGUUUGGAGGAAGUAAGGAGCUGGCAGGUCUGUGGUCUGUGAACACACAGGUGGAUCCAAGUUAUUGUCUGGGGUGAUGAUGUCAUGGCUGGGAAAUGGACCUGAAAACUGGAUCAGGUAUAGAUUUUGCCAAAAUUUAUGGAUACAUGUGAACAUAUGCUCUACCUAACAGGACCUGGCCUAUAUCUAGGUUUUGGGACUUUGUUAGGAAGUGAACCUCCUGGAAUGGAACUUGAGAAUACCAUGAAAGG